rnacentral:rRNA from 1 species
AUAUUACUAAGCGGAGGAAAGGAAACUAACUAGGAUUGCCUCAGUAACGGCGAGUGAAGCGGCAAGAGCCCAAACUGGAAAUCUCUGCUCCCCGGGGCAGCGAAUUGUAAUCUAAAGGUGGGGUGCUAUAACGGAUGUGGAGCAGAAGUGUCUUAGAACGGACCGCCAGAGAGGGUGACAGCCCCGUAUGUGGUUCCAUAUCCAAUCAGCACUUUACCAACGAGUCGGGUUGUUUUGUAUUGCAGCCCUAAGUGGGAGAUAAACUUCUUCUAAGGCUAAAUAUAUAUGGGAAACCGAUAGCGAACAAGUACUGUGAAGGAAAGAUGAAAAGAACUUUGAAAAGAGAGCCAAAAGACUUGAAAUCGUUGAGAAGGAAGCGGUAGAAAUUUAUUCUUCGGCAUUCAUCUUAGGUUUUCACUUAACUAUUCCGGAGCUAAGGUACGCAAGGCCUGGCGUUGGACUUGGGGAAGUGGGGCUGUGGUGGGUGUUGUGAGGCAAAAUGGGAUUGUAUUUCUGCAAAGGUGCUUGUCGCUUAGGGGGCUUCGGCUCUCAACGAUGGGUGUGCCGGUAGGGGUAUAGUCCGAGGGGCUUUGUGCGAUUUUGCCAAAAUGGUUUUUACCGA